AGUAAAAAUAAAACAGUAAAAAUAAAAAAGUUAAAAAAAAAAAAAAAUAGUUAAGUAAAUACAUUUUAAUAUUAUCAUUAUUAUAUAAUUUUUUUAAAGAGCAUUUAUAUUUGACUCUCUUUUAAUUCUGUAAUAUACGUUUUUUUUAUAUUCAUACAAAAAAAAAAAAACAAAAACAAAAACAAAACAGGAACGAGUCAAUACAAAUGCAUAAGCAAAUAAAUAAAUAUAUAACUGGAUACGUAGUUUUUUUAUUUUUAUUUUUUUUUUAUAUGAUGGAGAAAGUUUUAUUUCUUGCUAAUUGUGUUAAACUAUUUCGUUAUAAUUUAUAACUUUUAUUUUUAAUCAUUUUUUUUUGGUUUUUAUAAAAAUAUAAAUUAGAAAAAAUAUUAAUAAAACAAAUUUGAAAGGAGAGUAACAUAUAAAGAAAAAAAAAUAUAUAUAUAUAUAUAUAUUAAUAUUGCCAAAUAUCAUUGUCUAUAUAGAAGAAUAGUAAAAAUGGAUAAUAAAAAGAUAAACAUGACAGAACACCAAUGGAGGCUAUUUGAAUACAACAUGAGUAAAUGGAUGAUAGACAAUAAAUACAUUUUAGAUAGUGAAGAAAAAAAAAAUUUUAUAAAUGUGCAAAUUAUAGUAUAGGUUUAGGUGCACUAAAUGGGUCAUUAGUAUAUUUUUUAUGCAAAAAAAAAUGAAAAGUAUUUUAAACCUAUGUCGAGAUUUUUUUUAACCUUUUCAUUGGGUAUAUAUACAUCUAUGUUUGUUAAUAAAAUAUUCAGACGUAAAGCAUAUACAGAAAUAUUAACUGAGAAAACUACAAUGACCGACAAAGCAAAAGAAGUUAUGAACGAUAUAUUGAACAUUAAUGAUAAGAUAAAACCUCCUAAAGAUGUGGAAAAAAAAAGCGAAGAAAAUAUUAAUACAGAAUUAAACAAAAAUGAAUUUAAUUUAUUAAACAAUGAAAAUAAGCAAGUUAUAACUGAUUCUAAAAUAGAUAAUACUAAUUAUGUUCCCGAAAUUCAUGAUUUAAACGAAGCUGUUAUGAAAGAAUUGGAUGACCCAGAAAGGUAUGCGACUAUUAAAUACAGCAUUUUACAUAUAUUUUUGGUAAUUAUAGUUGUAUCUGUUUUUGUAAUUAUAUAUAUACAUAUAUAUAUACAACUUAUUUAAAUAUAAUUUAUGAAAAAUGUUAUAUUUGUAGAUGUAGAGAUGUGGCAAUUUGCACAGAUGAAAAUAUAAAAAAAUGAUAAAAACAUUAGAAAAAUAUUCUUAACAAGUUUAUAAUAUUUUGAAACAUACAUAUAAAUGUAGAUAAACACAUAUAUAUAUAUAUUAUAUACGUAUACAUAUAUAUGUGUGUGUAUUAUUGUAACUAUAAAAAAAUUAAAUACGAGCCAAAUAUAUUAUAAAAAAAAUGCAUCGAUGUAGUGCAAAUCGAAUGCAAAAACGAAUGAGCAAAUGAUUUCAGUUAAAAAUGCUAUUUAACACAAA
rnacentral:lncRNA from 1 species